rnacentral:rRNA from 1 species
UACGGAGGAUGCAAGCGUUAUCCGGAUUUAUUGGGUUUAAAGGGUGCGCAGGUUGUUUUAUAAGUCAGUGGUGAAAGUCUGUCGCUUAACGAUAGGAUUGCCAUUGAUACUGUAGGACUUGAGUAUGGAUGAGGUAGGCGGAAUGUGUAGUGUAGCGGUGAAAUGCAUAGAUAUUACACAGAACGCCGAUUGCGAAGGCAGCUUACUAAUCCAUGACUGACGCUGAGGCACGAAAGCGUGGGGAUCAAACAGGAUUAGAUACCCUGGUAGUCCACGCCGUAAACGAUGAUCACUCGCUGUUUGCGAUAUACAGUAAGCGGCUUAGCGAAAGCAAUAAGUGAUCCACCUGGGGAGUACGAUCGCAAGGUUGAA